GCAGCAAGUGAAGAAAACUAAUGCCUUAUUAUUAUGCAUGUAUUCUGUGAAGGAAAGCAGUCUCGUCUGCCAUUUGGUCACAACGGUGCAAGGAGCAGUGGACCCCUGGAUGUAAUAAACAUGCCGAUGUCUGUGGGCCAAUGGAGAUUGGAGGAUCCAGAUCCUACUGCGUGAGAGACUGCCAGUGAUACCAGGUCAGCUGUUUCUACACAACACUCAGUUCGGCUACAUUGUUGCUGGCACUGCACCAUUGAACAGCGAGGGAUGUUCAUCACUACCAAGUAACUUUUGCAACUUUCCUAUUUUUUCGGGAAUACCGCCGCUGCCCCCGGGCCAUGCCUCUAUAAUGAGAAGAUCACCUGGGUGAAGAUGACGAUGCAACAUCGCCAUGUCGAAGUACCCAGCGAAUGUGACGACAAAACUACUAAAUGGAUUUUGAUCAACAGACAACCUGGAUAGGCAACUUUUUAAAAAUCCUAGAAUCACUACCAGAAAACUUUUUAGCUCUAAGUUUUAUUUUAACAGUUACUAGAAAAUAAAACUGAGAGCAUGUUAAAUAAAACAAACCAACACCUAUCCCAAAAGAAAUGGUAGAAACAUAAUCAACAAAAUAUAUCAUACAGGUUACCAGAUAAGGCAAGUAAUAAUGAAAAAUAAUUUAUCUAUCUUUUAUCAUUGCAUGUUAUUGUUAUAAUGUAUUUCUACCUAUGGGUACAAUAGUGGGAGUAGCCUGUAUUUAUAGUUGGUGAACAAAUUGCUUGCUAAUGAUAAGGCACGGAAUUAAAAGGGACAGACAAAUAUUUAACAAGACAGAAAUUAAAACCCUAAAGAAUACGUAUGUUUAUAAAAAUGAAAACAGCUGUAUUUAUUUUAACUCUUUGGACACAUGGCGCCAUCUGUUGCCGAGUAGCGGUAAUAAUAGCGACACCUGUUGUCGAGUAGUAGUAACAAUGAGUUAGUGCAGUGAGAGUGAAGUGAACGUAACAAUUAUAUUAUUUAUAUAUAUUUUAAUAUUUAUAGGUUCUAUUUAAGUUUAGGUUUAUUAGUAGAUCACAUUUUAUUCUGUUUUAUUUAAUAAAGUAUGCUCUUACUUAAAAGAGCUAUGAUAUAAUUCAAGCUAUCGAUUUUAACUGUUAUAUUCUGAUUGAUAAAUAAUAAAUUUAGAAAUAUCAUUGUGAUUUUAAUCAUACCUACUUAUAACAAUAUAAAAUAAUUUAACAUGAUUGUGUUGAUGUAGUUUCUAAUGUGGAUUUGUAUACUUAAAAUAAAAUAAAUUUGUCUUGGCA